CAAUAUAGCAGAUCUAUACAUGAAUCAUCAAUCUUUUCUUACGACAGAUGUAACGUUGACUGUUCGUAUCCAGGAUAUAUAAGGCCAUUUUGACCUAUAAAACACGUAUCAAGCCCUAGAACUUCAUUCCAUGAGAUGGGUACACUUCGAAUGUGCGAAAUUUGUGACGAGGAAUUCAAGACCAAUUCUGAAUUGCGUAGGCAUGUAAAAAGGAAACAUCAAUCAGAGAAAUUGUCUUCGUUUGUGACCAGUGCAACACACGCUUUUGCACAUUAUAAAAGAAAUAUGAAGUAUAAAAAAUACAUUGUUUUCUGAAUACACGAGGUGCAUACAUAUACCAUGGCAGCCGUUUUAUAUAUCCGUUUAUGUACAUUAUGAAACGAUUAUUUUUACGUUAUUAUGCUUUGUUUCACAGAGAUACUACUAAUCUUUUACAUUGCAUUUUACACAUGUUGAUUUGUCAUUUCAUUGAACCAGAAGUGUUCUUAAGUUUUAC